rnacentral:rRNA from 1 species
UGGGGAAUCUUGGACAAUGGGCGCAAGCCUGAUCCAGCCAUGCCGCGUGGAUGAUGAAGGCCUUAGGGUUGUAAAAUCCUUUCGUGGGGGACGAUAAUGACGGUACCCCAAGAAGAAGCUCCGGCUAACUUCGUGCCAGCAGCCGCGGUAAUACGAAGGGGGCUAGCGUUGUUCGGAUUUACUGGGCGUAAAGCGCGUGUAGGCGGGUCGUUAAGUUGGGGGUGAAAUCCCGAGGCUCAACCUCGGAACUGCCUUCAAAACUGGCGACCUGGACCUAAGUGGAGGCAAGUGGAAUUGCGAGUGUAGAGGUGAAAUUCGUAGAUAUUCGCAGGAACACCAGUGGCGAAGGCGACUUGCUGGACUUAUGGUGACGCUGAGACGCGAAAGCGUGGGGAGCAAACAGGAUUAGAUACCCCUGUAGUCCCUGAGCGGGCUGGCAAGGCGCAU